rnacentral:rRNA from 1 species
AAGCUCGUAGUUGAAUUUCGGGAUUAGUACGUCGGUCGUGCCUUAGGUACGUACUGUGUUACUGGUUCCUACCUUCUGACGAACCAUCAUGUCAUUAAUUUGGUGUGGUGGGGAAUCAGGACUGUUACUUUGAAAAAAUUAGAGUGUUUAAAGCAGGCUCGCGCUUGAAUACAUUAGCAUGGAAUAAUGAAAUAGGACGUUGAUCCUAUUUUGUUGGUUUCUAGGAUUGACGUAAUGAUUAAUAGGGAUAGUUGGG